rnacentral:rRNA from 1 species
GGUUAAGCGACUAAGCGUACACGGUGGAUGCCCUGGCAGUCAGAGGCGAUGAAGGACGUGCUAAUCUGCGAAAAGCGUCGGUAAGGUGAUAUGAACCGUUACAGCCGGCGAUGUCCGAAUGGGGAAACCCAGUGUGAUUCGUCACACUAUCGUUAACUGAAUACAUAGGUUAACGAGGCGAACCGGGGGAACUGAAACAUCUAAGUACCCCGAGGAAAAGAAAUCAACCGAGAUUCCCCCAGUAGCGGCGAGCGAACGGGGAGCAGCCCAGAGUCUGAAUCAGCUUGUGUGUUAGUGGAACGGUCUGGAAAGUCCGACGGUACAGGGUGAUAGUCCCGUACACCAAAAUGCACAGGCUGUGAACUCGAAGAGUAGGGCGGGACACGUGGUAUCCUGUCUGAAUAUGGGGGGACCAUCCUCCAAGGCUAAAUACUCCUGACUGACCGAUAGUGAACCAGUACCGUGAGGGAAAGGCGAAAAGAACCCCGGCGAGGGGAGUGAAAAAGAACCUGAAACCGUGUACGUACAAGCAGUGGGAGCACCUUCGGGUGUGACUGCGUACCUUUUGUAUAAUGGGUCAGCGACUUAUAUUCUGUAGCAAGGUUAACCGUAUAGGGGAGCCGCAGGGAAACCGAGUCUUAACUGGGCGUUAAGUUGCAGGGUAUAGACCCGAAACCCGGUGAUCUAGCCAUGGGCAGGUUGAAGGUUGGGUAACACUAACUGGAGGACCGAACCGACUAAUGUUGAAAAAUUAGCGGAUGACUUGUGGCUGGGGGUGAAAGGCCAAUCAAACCGGGAGAUAGCUGGUUCUCCCCGAAAGCUAUUUAGGUAGCGCCUCGUGAACUCAUCUUCGGGGGUAGAGCACUGUUUCGGCUAGGGGGUCAUCCCGACUUACCAACCCGAUGCAAACUACGAAUACCGAAGAAUGUUAUCACGGGAGACACACGGCGGGUGCUAACGUCCGUCGUGAAGAGGGAAACAACCCAGACCGCCAGCUAAGGUCCCAAAGUCACAGUUAAGUGGGAAACGAUGUGGGAAGGCACAGACAGCCAGGAUGUUGGCUUAGAAGCAGCCAUCAUUUAAAGAAAGCGUAAUAGCUCACUGGUCGAGU